rnacentral:rRNA from 1 species
GACAACCAGGAUGUUGGCUUAGAGGCAGCCACUCGUUCAAAGAGUGCGUAAUAGCUCACUGGUCGAGUGAUCUUGCGCGGAAAAUUUAACGGGGCUAAGCAUGUAACCGAAGCUUGGGAUUGCGCAAUGCGCAGUGGUAGGGGAGCGUCGUGUACGGGGUGAAGUACGAUCGAGAGGACGUGUGGACUGUACACGAGUGAGAAUGCCGGAAUGAGUAGCGAGAAUUAUGUGGGAAUCAUAAUGGCCGAAAAUCUAAGGUUUCUUGGGGAAGGUUCGUCCGCCCAAGGUAAGCCGGGAGCUAAGGCGAGGCCGAAAGGCGUAGUCGAUGCACAUACGGUUGAAAUUCCGUAGCCACCUUAUCGAUAAAAGCUGACACAUAGAGAUAGCCGAACCCGGGCGUUGGUUGACCCGGGCGAAAGGGACCGAACUACAGUAGGGAAGUCGGCGAUGCUCUGUGGCGAGAAAAGGCGAAGGUAGGGUGCCCGUACCGCAAACCGACACAGGUAGAUGAGGAGAGAAUCCUAAGGCCAACGGGAGAAAGGUUGUUAAGGAACUCGGCAAAAUUGCCCCGUAACUUCGGGAGAAGGGGCGCCCUCGAAAGAGGGCCGCAGUGAAAAGGCCCAAGCGACUGUUUACCAAAAACACAGGUCUCUGCUAAAUCGAAAGAUGACGUAUAGGGGCUGACGCCUGCCCGGUGCUGGAAGGUUAAGAGGAGGACUUAGCGCAAGCGAAGGUCUGAAUUUAAGCCCCAGUAAACGGCGGCCGUAACAAUAACGGUCCUAAGGUAGCGAAAUUCCUUGUCAGGUAAGUUCUGACCCGCACGAAUGGCGUAACGAUUUGGGCACUGUCUCAACAGCCUACCCGGCGAAAUUGUAGUACCGGUGAAGAUGCCGGUUACCCGCAACUAGACGGAAAGACCCCAUGGAGCUUUACUGCAGCUUAAUACUGAGAUUCGGUAAUUCAUGUACAGGAUAGGUGGGAGACUUAGAAGCAGAGUCGUUAGGCGCUGUGGAGUCACCCUUGGGAUACCACCCUUGGAUUGCUGGGUUUCUAACCUGCGGCCAUGAAUCUGGUCGGGGGACACUGUUAGGCGGGCAGUUUGACUGGGGCGGUCGCCUCCUAAAAUGUAGCGGAGGCGCUCAAAGCUUGGCUCAGCAUGGAUGGAAAUCAUGCAAUGAGUGUAAACGUAUAAGCCAAGUUGACUGCGAGACCGACGGGUCGAGCAGGUACGAAAGUAGGAGUUAGUGAUCCGGUGGUAUGUGAGUGGAAAUGCCAUCGCUCAACGGAUAAAAGCUACCCUGGGAUAACAGGCUGAUCUCCCCCAAGCGUCCACAGCGACGGGGAGGUUUGGCACCUCGAUGUCGGCUCGUCGCAUCCUGGGGCUGUAUUCGGUCCCAAGGGUUUGGCUGUUCGCCAAUUAAAGCGGCACGCGAGCUGGGUUCAGAACGUCGUGAGACAGUUCGGUCCCUAUCUGUUGCGGGCGUAAGAGAUUUGAAGGGAGCUGUCCUUAGUACGAGAGGACCGGGAUAGACUGACCGCUGGUGUACCAGUUGUUCUGCCAAGAGCAUAGCUGGGUAGCUACGUCGGGACGAGGUAAACGCUGAAGGCAUCUAAGCGUGAAACUCCCCCUAAGAUAAGAUCUCUCAUCCUUUAUGGAGUAAGGCUCGUCGUAGACUAUGACGUUGAUAGGUCAGAGGUGGAAGCGCCGUAAGGUGUGUAGCUGACUGAUACUAAUAAGCCGAGGGCUUGAUC